rnacentral:rRNA from 1 species
UACGUAGGGGGCAAGCGUUGUCCGGAUUUACUGGGCGUAAAGUGCGUGUAGGCGGCCACGCAGGUCCGUUGUGAAAACUGGAGGCUCAACUUCCAGACGUCGACGGAAACCGUGUGGCUAGAGUCCGGAAGAGGAGAGUGGAAUUUCUGGUGUAGCGGUGAAAUGCGCAGAUAUCAGGAAGAACACCAAUGGCGAAGGCAGCUCUCUGGGACGGUACUGACGCUGAGACGCGAAAGCGUGGGGAGCGAACAGGG